rnacentral:lncRNA from 1 species
UUGGACUUCAACCACUGAAACUCCAUAACUACUUGAACUUGAAGUUUAAUAACCAUAAGCAAUAAUUCAUCAUCAUCAUCAAUAUCAACGGUCCCCAUUUAUGACUCAGAAAAUGAUCACCUGAUCUCUUCUCUUGCAAUACUCUACUCUCUGCAUGCAUCAACUGUGAAACACAUUUCCUGGCAUCAUCACAAGCAGUAAUAUUUAUUACAAAGUUUAGCAGAAAGCUUAUGUGGUCCUACGCACUC